GACAGAACUCAGAGCUGCAAGAGAAAGAAGACUGAAUUCAGUCUCUCUUGCAGAAAAAUUGUUUUCCGUCAAGUUGAUAAUAAUGAUCACACUGAGAAUGAAUGACUCAAGAUGAAUAUCCAAAGAUAUAUCAAAACCUGGUCAGCAGUCGUGGGGAAAGGAAGAAAGCCUGAGUUGAGUUUAUGAAAGUUUUCCACUAAAGUCAGCAACAGCUUAAAUUCAAACCAGGCACAAGACGCUUGAAUCUCCAUAUGAGUUGUUCAUCAAAGGGCUGAAAGAAAAGAAAUCUGAGCCCGAGCACGGUCUGGCCUAAAAGCUUUCAAGUGACUCCUUUCUGCAGCCCAAUAAAGCAAUUGUUUGGAUUUGGGAAUGUAAGGACCAUCUCCUCCAAGCUAAACUCUGAAGUAUAAGUUGCAAAUGAAAGAAGUCCUGCUACUCUAAAGAAUAACUAAACCAGACUGGAGUCACUGAAACUGAUGGAAGAACAUCUCAGGCAUGAGUGCCAUGGUGACGUCAUCAGCUCCGUUCACAACCACUCACCAUGAGGCCAUUGCUCCUGUGGAGGACACUGGCUUAGGACUCAUGAAGUAGUACCUCAGGAAGGUGUCUCUGUAAGUGUUCCUUCCACCAGCUCCAAGACACAAUGAGAUGGAGAGAACUGGAACAAUUCCCUAUGAUUGCAGCUGGAUAUUUUCACAUGAACUAUCUAGUAAUGAAGGCAAUGGCAUGUGGUGUGGCAAAGACUGGCCCCAGAUUACAUUUCCAGUCCUUUUGUACUGAGGAGGGGCUUUGGGACCAAGACAGUAGGAGUGAGGGUACAGGUUCCACAUUCUAUUUCUCUCUUAGUUUUCUGUGGUUAUCUUGGUGACUGCAUGGUAAAGAUGGAGGUGACAAAAGAUGGAAGGAGCCUGGAUCCCUGAAUGACUUCAUGGUGCAGAGCCUUACACUACCCCCAACUCAUACUAAAACAGGGGUGGGAGGAACAAUAGACCAUUAUUCUGUUAAGGUGCUGAAAUUGUAGAGCUGUUAAUUUGAACAGUUAGAGUUUCUUAUACUGAUACAGUAUCCUUACCCUGGAUUGUUGAAAUAAUUAGUCCAAAUAGUUUCUUUGCCUAAAACUGUGGACAGAGCCUAAGCAAUAUUGAAUCCAAGACAAGGUAUAUUUAUCAUCAAAUGCUACUCACUAUACAAUACAGAUGAAUGUGGCACUUACUUCCCGUGUUGUUACCCAGCCUGCUUCUAGUAUUCUUUACACAAAAUAACAUUCAUGAGCAACCUGGGCACAAGAGGUCUCUGUCAAAAUAAGUCUUUGAUUUCUCUCCAGAUAAACUCGUGUGUGUGUGUGUGUGUGUGUGUGUGUGUGUGCAUGUCCAUUUUAUAUUUGGUUUUAGUUACAAUUCAAGGAGUCUUUCCUUUUAGACAAUGGUCCAUACAUUCAUGGAAGGCAGAACUAAUCAGAGAACCUGGUUCAAAAGUUUUAGGGGAUUCUUUGAGAAAUGUUUCCCAGAAUUUAAACUUGGGACUUGACUAUAAGUAUUAGUGUACAAAAUCACAGAGGAUAUCAAAGCAAGAUUCUUCCUGUUCUCCCAGAAAAAAAAAUAUAUUCUUGGAAAAUUAUUUUCCUAGACUGUCAAGCUCAGAGAUGGACAGUUGGCCAAUGAAGGCCUCAUCUACAGCAAGAAUGAAGAAUCUGAGCCUCAGCAGUGAAAACACUGCCUACUACUUCACUACCACCCUUUGGACUAAAACCAGAACAAACUUGCAUUUAAACCAUUAAAAAUGCCACACACAUUAAAUUCUGUGCCUGGGCCAGGCAGCUCCCAAGGCAGAUGGUGUGUAGUGUUGGAAAACUUGGUAUUAUUUAAAUGAAACAAGCAUUCCAUUGCUCUCGAUCACACUGAACAAUGAAGAUUUCACACCCAGCGAUUCUAUCAUCAGUGGAGCUCUCUCUGUCUCCAUUUGCAGCAUUGGACAGAUAAAUAAAUAUUCUUUAGAUCAAGUUAACUGCCUGAUGUUUCUUAGAGAGACAGAAACUCUAAUGAUCAAGUUGAUGUAGCAGUGGGUCAUUAUCAUCUUCCUCUGAGACCCACUGUUUGAGGGAGAAGUGUGCAGUAUGCUGCAAUAUGACUUUAAGAAAGUAUUAACAUGCCUAAGAUGACUUGAAAUUGCCAGUCUUCUGGGCUGUUGUGGGGGACAUUGGAAGGAAUCAAUGAACAUUUCCAGGAGAUUACAGAGAUCACAGGGGAAAUUGUUUAGUUAGAACUGUGUACACAAAGCUGACUUUAGACACCUGCAAAAAUCAGAAUCAUUGAAAAAAAAGAGAGAGAGAGAAAGGAAAAGAUAAAAGAAAGCCAAGAUGCUGUGUCCCAUUCCAAGUAAUACUGCUCUCCCCUUCCAAUGCUUCCAUACCAUUCUCCAAACCUGAAGCUCCCUGGAGCCAGGUUCCAUCACUAAUGGGGCAUCUCAGUUCCGACUAGAUCAUACUGGGUUGCCUGAUUUGCUGGAGAACCUCAGUGAGGAGCUGCAAGUGACUUGGUUUCUGUGCUUAAGAAACAGCAGACUACAAGGCAAAGAGCAUGGCAGAAGGGAUCAACUCAGCUUUUGUCUCUAAAACCAUCCCCAUGUCUUUUGGGGAUAAAGCCUGACUUUUAUUCCUCCCUUGAUAAUCUGUCCUUUACCUCUUGGGAUUUGGCAUUAAGCCACUCCAUAGCUUUGCUAAUUCUUGGGAGGAAGGCAUUUAUCAGGACAAAAGAGGAACCUGCACUCUCAAAGGCUUACAGGGGCAGUCAUCACGUUUGUUUGCUAUCUACUCUGAAAACAAUGACGUCUGGAUCGCAUGGGCAGAAGUCACAGGGGCCUACAAGAACCAGGCUGUGACAGCCGGGAAGCUAAUGUGUGUUACCACGGAAUCCACCAAGGGGAAAAACUUUGAAACAUUUUAAAAAUGCAGGUGCACAAAUUACUCAUGCCAGGAGCGGCAGUGGCACUUUGUAAUAAAAUCUUAUGUUUAUUUUCCACUGUUGAAUACACAUACCUUAGUGUUCCCAGAGAGGGAAGCCUACAAUGCUAUCCAAUGAAUAGUUUGCAGAUGGAUUAAAUACAUGUACCAAUGAAAUAAAACGUGCAGAUUUGGGGCUUUUUGCCUCCUACCUUUGCUCUGGGCCCAGAGCUCCCCGAUGAUGACACGGGAGGUUUGUGCAAAGAUCUGAAGUCAAGAAGGAUUAGUUUAAAGAGUCAGAUGAAAAAGGACACAAAUGAAAAUGCUUCUGCAUGAGCCUGAAAACCAACACUUAGCAAUGAGUGAUUCUGACUUUGGGGCCUGUAACAAAUAAUAGCAAAUGAGGGAAGUUUCCAGUGGCUUCACAGCAGGAGGGCAAUGGCCAGGGAACCACUGUGAAACAGAUCAGUCAACGGGACUUCCUGGUUCUUGAGGAAGCUUUGAAGGCAGGGAGUGUGGCAUACAUGUAAGGGUCUUUGUUGCUAAUAUUUUUUUUUGAGGCAUAUACUUUGCAGGGGCAAAUCUUCAAGUUGCCACUUCCUGAGAACUCCCUCAUUUUAGUGAAUAUAUAUUUCAAGCCCAGUAGUUGAAUAGCACUAUUAUUGGCACUGUGCAGGAACACCAAAAUGUGCAAGACAGGGACUUGAACUCACUGGAGUAAUGAUCUAGUGGCAUUCACAAACCACAUCGUGUGCAGCAGAAUUCUAUGAGAUAUUCAGACAAUAAAGUGCAUAGAGAGAAGGAAGAGGUCCCUCUGGCUAAGGCGAUGGAAGAGAUUAUGAAGGGAGAGCAGGCUAGACUCUGGCCUGCAGGUAAGUAAGAUGCAUGAACCAAUGCUUACGGAGAGGAAAGAAGAGUUGAGUUUAGGAAGGACAAGAGGACCUCUGCCGUUGCUAUGCAGGCUUUGGUUUAGAGAGGAGAAGACAAGAAUCUUAGAAAUGCAUUGAGUGUGCUGCUCUGUGGGCUCAGGAGCAUAACCCAGGCUUUCCACGAGCUCUUCAUUCCAUACACUGCCAUCUAGACACUGGGGCUUCUCAUGUGCUAGGUCCUGCCAGCUUUCCCUGGGAGCCCCUCAGACCGCUACUUGAACUGGUAACGAAAAAUUGAGAAGAUGUGUUGACUACACACCACAAACACACACACACACACACACACACGUGCUAAACUGGCCACUCCCCUACUGACACCACCAUCAGUAUGUCUGGGGCUCGGCUGCCAAGGGAGUUGACCUCCUUGAGGACAGCAGAGUCCAGCCCUCUGUGCAGGGAGUUAAGCUUCUGGUGUGCCUAUUUUCGUAGGGAAGAAGAAAAGAGAGGGCACAAAACGAAUCUCUAUCCCUGUCGAAAUCCUAACAAAGGCCGGGCACGGUGGCUUGUGCCUGUAAUCCCAGCACUUUGGGAAGCUGAGGCAGGCAGAUCACCUGAGGUCAGGAGUUAAAGACCAGCCUGGCCAACAUGGUGAAACCCCGUCUCUACUAAAAAUAGAAAAUUAGCCGGGGGUGGUGGUGGGAGCCUGUAAUACCAGCUACUUGGGAGGCUGAGGCAGGAGAAUCACUUGAAUCUGGGAGGUGGAGGUUGCAGUAGCCAAGACCACGCCAUUGCACUUCAGCCUGGGCGACAAGAGCAAAACUCCAUCUAAAAAAAAAGAGCAAAAAACAAACAAACAAACAAACAAACAAAUCCCAAAAAGACUGCACAGUGGCUGGCUUUUCUCCAGCCUGGUGACAGAAUUUGCAUCUGCCACAAACAGGAACCAAUCUCCUGUCUAUCCUAAGCUCUCAUGUUUGGAUUCUAUUGGCCCUCCUCAGAGGUGGAUGGAGGCGGCACCAAACAUCGUCUAGUGGGCAGGGGCACAGAGCAGAAUCCCAAGAGUGAUUUUCUCCCUCCACCAAGCCCCCCUCACCUGUGCAUGCUCCUCCCAGCCCACUCCACAUCACAUAAUUGGCAUGUGAAGAUUGAUCAGCAGUGGUGUGCGGCCUGCUCAACAGACGGAUCAGCUGUGGCAUGUGUUCAGCUGGGCAAACCUAGCACGAAGAUGUUUCUGUCGGUGUGCAGGGGACAGCCGUCCAUCAACAGCCAUCUUGUUUUGUUUAUUUGUUUAAGCAACCACAGAUGCGAGAGAGAAAGAGACAGAGAGAGAGAGAGAGCAAGUGAGUGAGGAGAAUAUUUCCACCCCCCCUCUCCCCUACAGAUCUGUCCCGAGGCUUCGAAUCUUCUUUCCCACUCUAAGCACUCUGGGCCACAUUCGAUUCUAUUUUUGUGCCCCUCUUCAACUGCAAUGAGGCUUGCUUUGGCAUCUGAGCUACCACCUGCCGUCUGCUCUUUAGUUCCUGUUUGCUGUAAAUCUCGCUUUGGGUCUUGGGUAUCUUCACAGCUAGUUCUGCAGAAGAGAAAGGAGCAUUUUGGUCUUGAGGUAACUCCCAGUCGGUCUCCAGCUUCCUCCAGAUGGAACUCUGCCCUGCUGUAGCCUCUGUGAAGACCAGCUGCCUCUGGCUUUAGCAUUUUCCUGCAGCUAACAGGCAUCAGCCCGGAGAACAAUUGUCUUGGAGGAGAGAGGGAGAGUCUGGGCUGAAAACUGCCAUGCAGGGAUGGGAGCCAUUUUUAAAGCCCUCCUGAAUGUUCAGUUGUGAAAUCAACAUCCUGAUUGUUGUGGAGCUUCAAGCAGGUGAAAACAUAAGAUGAAAGGAAAUGAAGUGACUGCUGACAGGCUGGAGAGCAUGACUUAAUCAGCAGCUAAAAUCAAUGAGUCGAAGGCUGCUGCCCCCAGCAAAAAUCAAUGGGGGAAAAGGACUGCUGGCCAAGAUCUCUCCUACAUUUUUAUUUGCCCCAAGACCACCCAAGACUUUCCUAUCCUGCUCGUGCCCUGCCUAAAAUGCUAAUUUAGGCUGUGACUUGAUAGGCCCUUGAAAAUUUCCUGGAAAUCUAGCCUCCUACCCUGAAUUAAUAAGUUGUAAGGAACAACCUCAAAUCUCGAAGGAUUAAUCCAAUAAAAGUUAAUUUCUCCUGCAUGCUGAGACCAAUAAAGAUAUUUCUCUUCUGGCAGCUUUCCUGGUGGCUCUCCUUCAAGCCGUGACAUGGGGAUCUAGGCUUCUCCCAUCUUGAGAUGUCUCCAACUUUAAUCGAGGGCCUCUCCGGUGGCUGUAGAAGCAGAAGAGAGUAUGGGGAAGGCACAUUAGGUAGUUAACCAUCUUGCCUGAAAGUGACACCUGCCACUUCUGUUCACAUUCCAUUGGCCUGCAUUCGCCAGUUGGUCCCACGAAGAUGUGAGGAGUCAGGAAAAUAAAAACCCUGGCUGGAUAUCCUUGGACUCCACAUAGUUGGCUCUACCAUAUUCCCCUAAAUAAUACUCACAUCCCCUGACAAACAACACUCAGAAUCCUAAAACCACCAAGUGGAAAAAAAUUGCUACAUUCCCACCUACUUUGAAUCUCCUCUUUACGGCUUAGAAACCCAACCGUCACUGACAUUUGCCCAUUGACAUUUUCCAUGUAGCCUGUUAGACCAUUUCUUCCCUCUUAGCAUCUUCUACAGAACUUCCAUAGACCUGUUUUCCUUUGUCUUUGUACUUUCUGGUUGUUUUCUAGAACUUCUCCAGUUUCUCUGCAUGUAGUGUUGGUUCUUGUCCUUAAGGUAAAUAAGUUGUUACUGGACCACAUCCUAUUGUGGGCAGAUUUAAGGUCUAAUUUAAAUAGACUUGGGAGAUUAGAGGUAUAGGUGAUAUUAAAAUGAUUAUUAUUUUUAAAUUUAUUCUGGUCUUCUAGAACUUCCAGGGCACCAGCAGCUCUUCCCAUAUUAUUCCAUCUGAAAUCUCAGGUUAUCAAAUAGCACACGGCCCAGCCAAGGCACAAUAUACAUGGGACAGUGUCUAGCUCAGAUCUCACCUGUGACCUUCCUCUACAGAUAUAUUUAUUGAAUUUAAAGAUGCUGGGAUGCCAAGGGGUUAUUAUAGAAGUAUGAGGUUGUAUUCCUCUAGGGAGAAGCUCCAGCCUUCUUACCUAUUCAACGAAUCAUCUUUAGACUCCCACUUCCCAUGCAUAUUAUUUUCUUUAUAAGUAACCUAAAACAGAAUCAUCCCCUAUUUAAGAACUGAUAGCAUCAGCAAGGCCACACUCCUUUGAUGUUUAGGGGCUUUCCCAAGCUGAAAAUGCCCUGCUCAUAAAUCAUUCAAUCAUUCACUGAGGAAAUGUUUACUGAUCACUGCUGUGUGCACUGUUGUAGGCACCAAGGAAAUGAAGGCAGAUAAACAUGGUCUUUGAUAUCAAAGAGGUCAUAGUCUCAUUCAGAAGAUAGAAAUGGAGACAAACAGCUCUAAUACAUAUAAGCCCUAUCUUUUGCCUUGCUCAAGAUACCAGGGUGGUGCAAAAUAAAAAAUAACUGAACUCUGUGUAGAAGGAAUAAGGUUAGGAAAAAUUUUGCUUCGUGGAGAAUAUGAUGCUUAAAUUGAGUAUUGUGAUAUGAGACAGAAUCUUCUCUAUAAAUAAGAAGGCGAUAUAGAAAGAACAAUCUAGUCUACAAGAAUAACAUUUGCAAAGAAAUAAAGGCAUAACUUCGUAGUGCGUGAUGAAAAAAUUCUCAAUGAGGUUAAGAAUUUAGAGAGGAUAUGUGGAUGCAAGGAGGGGAAGAGUGAAAAGUGGCAAAAGCAGUUUAGGUAGAAAGAUAGAUACAGAAUCAUGAUUGCCAUGGCUUAGGAUCUAACGAGGCUUCAGCAGGAGAUAAGGAAGAAAAGCUGCUUUUCUGAGUAUUUCUUGCUGUGAAGAGGAAGCCCAGCAGUGCUGCCCUCCAGACAGUGCUCCACAGUCAGGCCAUUCUGCUCUCUGGCUGUACCUCCAUAGCUAUCGUCCCCAAAGCCCCUUCCUGCUCUGUGCCUUUGCAAACGUCUGUGAAACCUUCUGCAUAUCCCAAACUUGCCUACUCUUUCUCAAACACCCCGUUCUGCACCAGUUGCCUUCAGGGCAGCUUCAGUGGCCCUGCACCCAAACUCUCAGUUGAUGUGGAAUUGGCCCCAAGCCAUUUGGCCCUGAGUAAUCACUCAUAUAAGGACUUUCCUCUCCCCACCUAAGAUCGUGCAUUGUGUGAUGGAGUGGAGUGGAGUUAUCAUCCACAAAUUGUGUCUCCCACCACACUCAGUAGAGUGCAGGCCACAUAGAAAUUAUAAAAUACAGACUUAGUGAUUAGUCGAAAGGGAAUGUUGCUAAGGUUAUCUUAGGCUCACCUACAUUAGAAUUAGCUUCUGUAGUUCUUAGAAUGCAGAUAUGGGAGGCCCAGUCCAAGAUCUACUAACUCAGAUAUCGGGCGGGGUGAUCUGCAGAUUUAAUAAGUGCCCUAAGUGGUUUUUAUGAACAUGGAAAUUUGAGAAUCAGUGACCUAGAUGGGGGUUGGUAAACUCUUUCUGUAAAGGGCCAGAGAGUAAAUAACGUAGGCUUUGUGGGCCAGAUAUGGUCUGUAGUGCAUAUCCUUCUUCUUUUCAAUUCUUUAAAAAUAUAAAAGCAUUCUUCGUUUUGGGCUGUACAAAAGCAGGCCACAGGCUAGAUUUGGCCCAUGAGCCAUAGUUUGUGAACCUCUGGCCAAGAUGAGGGGUUCCUCAUCUCCUCUAGAGGCUUCAGAGACAUGUGAAAUCCAGUGGCUUCAGGUGUGGACAGUCUAGAGAGAAAUCUCCACUUCGGUUCUUUGCAGGGAGCAGGGCCCAUUUGCCCUACAACUUUCCCUUGUGCCCUGGCAUUAUAGGAAUGUGCCCAGGCUUCUUGGCGGAUGUCCUCUAGUCUGGCCAGCACCAUAGGACAGUUCUCUCUGCCAGUUCCUGGAGCCCGCACCCUGUGGCUCGCCUACAUCGGGCCCUAAACACAACCUCUCUCCAUGUUAUUACAUUAAUACAGGCAAGGGAGUUCCUAAAACCAGAAUGGGACUGCAGUUCCCAAACCCCCUACCUCCUCCUGACCUGCAUGGUUAGGUGCUGCCUUUCUGCAGGAGCCUGGAUGUCAGCAUCUAGAUGCCUCAGGACCAGCUGUCCAAUCCCCCUUCCACCAAUCCCUGUUUUAGGUCCUCCAUGAACUUUUUCUUAGGGGAAAGCAGAAAUCCUAUCCCAUCCUGCUGCACUCACAGGAAGAGUUUGACAGUGGUUAAGAGAUCAUUCUCCUCAUUCAGCACCUCGGUGAGGUGUGAAUUUGCACAAGAUGAUUCAAUAUAUUUUCUUUGUGUAUUCUUCAGUAUAUUCAUGCUGUCCGGUGAAUUUUUGACAUUUCGGUGUGCUGCUCUAAGCUGCCCGUGUUGGGGACCUGAUCCUGACCCUGACUAUGGCUUUUAAGCAAGGAGAGCCAGAAUAAACCCAGACAAAUAGUCCUUUGCAGUGUGCACUGGUGCCCAGGUAGCCCUUGGUUAUCUGCUGUGUUCAGUCCUCCGGAGGGAGUGAUGAAAAGGGCAGUCGGCCCUCCUUCCAAGAUAGCUUGUAAGCAGUCCUGCCUUGAGGCUGAGGGUAGACGAGAUGACCCCUCCAGUCCCAUCCAGUCUUGGUAUCCUGUGAUUUCUCACGUGAGUCCAUUUUGUGCCCUGGGCUCACGUACAUCAAUUAAAAACACAACAGUGUAUGCUUCCACAGGAGGGAGGAAAAUGAACCAUAGCAGUCUUCCUAUCCGAACCAGACCCCAUUUUUCCAAGUCACCACCUUACUCUCAUCUGUAAAGCGCUAAAUAGCCUGAGACCCAGUUAUCUUUGUGACAAUCUCUCCCCAGGUGCCCCAUCACGGUAAUUACGCUCAGCGGGGAGCCUGGAGCUGCCCAUCUCUGGAGUUAAACUCAUUAAGACAGGAGACUGAGAAAUCUCCGCAGAGGGUCCCUGCCCCUGAAAUCAUGGGCAUUCCUCUUCCUUGGCUACCAGUUUUGGGGUUUGGAGGAGUCUGGGGUCUGGUCUGAGGCUCCACAUUGCCACAGAGCUUGCUUUAACCUGGAUUUGCUGUUGUGAUUUGUACUUUGGGGAAGAUACUUACUAUGGGAGUCUGCAAAGAGAACAGGUUCCAUUUCAUGAAAUGAAAUGAGGAUUGAAACAAAGCCAUGGAGGUUGCUUAUUCCAAAUAUUGAACAUGAUGAACAAGUUGAUUUGUCAAUAUUUCUCA
rnacentral:lncRNA from 1 species